rnacentral:rRNA from 1 species
CAAUAGCGUAUAUUAAAGUUGUUGCAGUUAAAAAGCUCGUAGUUGGAUUUCUGGUGUGAGCGUCUUGCCGGCCCAAACGGGUCUGUGCAGGCACGCCUCUCGCCAUCCUUGCGUCUAACUUGUCUGGCAUUAAGUUGUCGGGCUUGGGAAGCGCAUCGUUUACUGUGAAAAAAUUAGAGUGUUCAAAGCAGGCUUACGCCGUUGAAUACAUUAGCAUGGAAUAAUAAGAUAGGACCUUGGUGCUAUUUUGUUGGUUUGCGUACCGAGGUAAUGAUUAAUAGGGACAGUUGGGGGUAUUUGUAUUCCAUUGUCAGAGGUGAAAUUCUUGGAUUUAUGGAAGACAAACUACUGCGAAAGCAUUUACCAAGGAUGUUUUCAUUAA